rnacentral:rRNA from 1 species
CGGGCCAAGCGGUGGAGAUGUGGUUUAUUCGAUGCACGCGAAGAACCUUACCUGGCCUUGACAUCCAGAGAACUUAGCAGAGAUGCUUUGGUGCCUUCGGGAACUCUGAGACAGGUGCUGCAUGGCUGUCGUCAGCUCGUGUUGUGAAAUGUUGGGUUAAGUCCCGCAACGAGCGCAACCCUUAUCCUUUGUUGCCAGCGGUUCGGCCGGGAACUCAAAGGAGACUGCCGGUGAUAAACCGGAGGAAGGUGGGGAUGACGUCAAGUCAUCAUGGCCCUUACGGCCAGGGCUACACACGUGCUACAAUGGCGCAUACAAAGAGAAGCGACCUCGCGAGAGCAAGCGGACCUCAUAAAGUGCGUCGUAGUCCGGAUUGGAGUCUGCAACUCGACUCCAUGAAGUCGGAAUCGCUAGUAAUCGUAGAUCAGAAUGCUACGGUGAAUACGUUCCCGGGCCUGGGGAUCCCGA